rnacentral:lncRNA from 1 species
UCAUCCCGUUGACUUUCACAGCUGCCCAGACUGUCAUGGUGAGAGAUGGCAGCCUGUCUAAGCCAGAGGAAGCUAGAGGCUCGCUUUCUCACAAUCAGGAUCCGGAUCCUUCACCUGAAGUCUUGGGAAACCUUGCUACCCAGAAUGUAGAUGCGGCUGUCUGCUCCAACAGCGUGACCUGAUGGCUGCUUUGCAGGGCGCAUGCGCAUGUGCUAUCGAUUCCCCUCGGGCUGUGUGCUGCUGGGCCACAGGGCAAGUGGCUGCUUAUGUAUUCUGACUGUGCCACUUUGAGGACAGAAUUCUAAGAACGAUACCACAUGGUCAUAUGGAUUGUACUUUAUUUCUCCAAGGCCUUGCUUCCCCAACCCGAAGCUGUGUUAGCGCUGCCUACGAGUGUUCAUAGGAUGCAAUGGAGUAGCAGUAGGUCCUCUGACUCUGUGCGGGUGAGAAUUCUGCUGGGGAGCCUGCGCACAGCCUUUUAAUCCAAUUCCUGGGGCAUCAGGGAUCCAGUGCAAAGGAAAUCAGGGACCACACACACUUCUGCUCUCAGGACCGCCUGGAUCUGGAAGUUCUGAGGCUGGCCUGCUCUCUCCAGAUCUAAAAACAACCAACCCUCUUGCUCCCGUACACAAUUCUGGCUGACAGAGGUCCGGAGACUCCUAAAGUGUGCUAAACUUUUAAAUAAACUUCCAAGAUGUGACCCCCUCGGACCGCCCGCGUGCUUGUGGCCACCCACCUGGGGAGACCACACCUCGUUUUCUUGCCUUGCUAUCUAUAGUGCUCUCCUUGAGAUGUGUCCUUUUAUUUUCCAGUUUGAGGGUCAUAAAAAUUUCCCGUCUUUCCCUCCCAAGAAU